GCUUUGGAAGACACCCUGAAGUAGAAGCAAAACGAUUCUUUGCUUAAAGCAUUAAAACCACCACCACAACCAACAGCAACAAAACCAGCAAAACCUAGGACAAACGAGUUUUGUGGCAACAACAAUAAAAGCCCAGGUCAGGUAAGUAAGCACAGAGUUAUUUCUUAAGGAACACAAAUUAAGUGUUCAGCGUUUGUCCUUUCUUUUGGAUUAUGCUGCUUGCAAAGAGAAUCAUUUGAAAGGAUUAAUAUGCUAUGCUAUGCUAUGCUAAGUCACUUCAG
rfam:TPA: Bos taurus chromosome 23, whole genome shotgun sequence.